rnacentral:rRNA from 1 species
UACGGAGGGUGCAAGCGUUAUCCGGAUUCACUGGGUUUAAAGGGUGCGUAGGCGGGCAGGUAAGUCAGUGGUGAAAUCCUAGAGCUUAACUCUAGAACUGCCGUUGAUACUAUCUGUCUUGAAUACGGUGGAGAUGAGCGGAAUAUGUCAUGUAGCGGUGAAAUGCUUAGAUAUGACAUAGAACACCAAUUGCGAAGGCAGCUCGUUACACCAAUAUUGACGCUGAGGCACGAAAGCGUGGGGAUCAAACAGG